GAUGAACGCUGGCUACAGGCUUAACACAUGCAAGUCGAGGGGAAACGACGGGGAAGCUUGCUUCCCCGGGCGUCGACCGGCGCACGGGUGAGUAACGCGUAUCCAACCUGCCUCUGACUGAGGGAUAACCCGUCGAAAGUCGGCCUAAUACCUCAUGGUAUCGUCUGCGGGCAUCCAACGACGAUUAAAGAUUUCAUCGGUCAGAGAUGGGGAUGCGUCUGAUUAGCUUGUUGGCGGGGUAACGGCCCACCAAGGUUACGAUCAGUAGGGGUUCUGAGAGGAAGGUCCCCCACAUUGGAACUGAGACACGGUCCAAACUCCUACGGGAGGCAGCAGUGAGGAAUAUUGGUCAAUGGGCGAGAGCCUGAACCAGCCAAGUAGCGUGCAGGAUGACGGCCCUAUGGGUUGUAAACUGCUUUUAUGCGGGGAUAAAGUGAGGGACGUGUCCUUCAUUGCAGGUACCGCAUGAAUAAG
rnacentral:rRNA from 1 species